GCCCCUGUGGCGGAAUUGGUAGACGCGGCAGAUUCAAAAUCUGUUUCCGGUAACGGAGUGGGAGUUCAAGUCUCCCCGGGGGCACCA
rnacentral:tRNA from 1 species